CACCUGAGCACCCUUUGGCAGACAGUAGAGAAAGUUACCACCUAGGAAUGAGAGGCUAGCAUGGAAUGGGAGUCCACAACCUGAUGAGGUCAUCAGAAGAGUUCAAUGAGUCAGGACCUGUCCAGUGCCCAGUACCUGACACACGGCACCCAGCAAGGGGGAAUUCCCCCACACCAGACACGGAGGAGGCAAGGAUGCAAUCCCCGCCAGGGGCUGGGACUCCAGGCAAGGCAAGGUCCCACGCCACGCUUCUGCUCAGCCCACUUUUCCCAUAGCUGCCUUUG